rnacentral:rRNA from 1 species
GGCGGCACGCCUAACACAUGCAAGUCGAACGAAGUAGCAAUACUUAGUGGCAGACGGGUGAGUAACAUGUGGGUAUCUACCCUUUGGCCUGGAAUAACACGAGGAAACUUGUGCUAAUACCGGAUAAGUCUUUACGGAGAAAGCUUUAUGCACCAUUGGAUGAGCCCGCACUUGAUUAGUUUGUUGGUAGGGUAAUGGCCUACCAAGACUAUGAUCAAUAGCUGAUUUGAGAGGAUGAUCAGCCACAUUGGGACUGAGACACGGCCCAAACUCCUACGGGAGGCAGCAGUGGGGAAUCUUGCACAAUGGAGGAAACUCUGAUGCAGCGAUGCCGCGUGAGUGAAGAAGGCCUUUGGGUUGUAAAGCUCUUUCGUCGGGGAAGAAAAUGACUGUACCCGAAUAAGAAGGUCCGGCUA